CUAGGGCAGAGUUCAAGCGAAGCUUUGAGAAAAUGCUGAGCAUUUAAUCUGGGAUAAAUGUGACUGACAAAUCCAAAGGACAGGCAUUGCACUAAAAAUAGCAGAUAAGCCAAGAGAAAGGAAACACAGAUUUGAAACAGAGCAAGAGGAAGGGUGACAGCAAAGCCAGAAAACAUCUAGAAGUUUGUACCACAAAAAGAGGGAAACUAGUUUGUCUUCAAUGGCUUUUGGCCAUGUUGAUGGAUGGAAUCAGCCUCAGGAUGAAGACGACCCAGAGGAUAACUAAGUGCUUUCCAGAGUCUUUCUGGUCUCCAGGAGCCUGAAAAUAGCAUCCCAGAUGUGUCUACCUCCGUUUUCCUCCCUCCCUUCUCUGUGACAGUCUUCAGAGACAGCCCAAAAUAGCACUGCCCUUUUCUCGCUGGGACUUCAACAUUCUCAGGCAGUUUUGCAUUUUUAAAAGGAAAAAAAAAA
rnacentral:lncRNA from 1 species